GAUGAAGAACGUAGCGAAAUGCGAUAAGUAAUGUGAAUUGCAGAAUUCAGUGAAUCAUCGAAUCUUUGAACGCACAUUGCUCCCGCCAGUAUUCUGGCGGGCAUGCCUGUCCGAGCGUCAUUUCAACCCUCAAGCCCCCGGGCUUGGUGUUGGAGAUCGGCGAGCCCCCCGGGGCGCGCCGUCUCCCAAAUAUAGUGGCGGUCCCGCUGUAGCUUCCUCUGCGUAGUAGCACACCUCGCACUGGGAAACAGCGUGGCCACGCCGUAAAACCCCCCACUUCUGAAAGGUUGACCUCGGAUCAGGUAGGAAUACCCGCUGAACUUAAGCAUAUCACUAAGCGGAGGA
rnacentral:misc_RNA from 1 species